UUUUGGACGAAAUUUUUAGCCGAAAAAAACGACCAUGUAUAGUAAGGUGUUUUUAGCCGAAAAAAAGGACCAUGAAUAGUAAGGCGUUUUUAGCCGAAAAAAGACGACCAUGUAUAGUAAGGCGCGUUUUUAACCGAAAAAACGACCAUGUAUAGUAAGGCGUUUUUAGCCGAAAAAAGACGACCAUGAAUAGUAAGGUGUUUUUAGCCGAAAAAAGACGACCAUGUAUAGUAAGGCAUUUUUGGACGAAA